CUCCCCGUAGUUCAACGGAUAGAACACUAGCCUUCUAAGCUGGAUAUCGAGGUCCGACUCCUCGCGGGGAGACAA
rnacentral:tRNA from 1 species